GCGCAUGCGCGAACAACCCCAGCUAGUGUGCUAGAAACUGAAGAAUUUGAGCAUGCGCAGGAGUGUCAGCGCGUUUGGUAGGCUUCAGAUGCUACUGAGAAUUAGCCCCUCCUCGCUGCGUCUGAUUGGUCUAAUUAAUCCCUGGUGUUCCUGAGACCGACUUGAAGGAGGGACUUUGCACUUGGGCAGAGGGGCUGAGGAAAGUAAAGGGCAGCUGCGUGGGCUCCUCUGAAGGAAACUUUCUUGAGAGCACUGUGUUCCAGUCCUGUUGAACGUUUUCCUGGAGACUCCACUGAGACAGUCUGCACUGUCCAUCACCAUGGACUUCAGCCUUCGACCAGAUGUGGUACCCACAGAGGCCUUUCGUGUCUUGCUGCUGCGGCUUGUCGAGUCAGUGGUAACAUGGAGCUGACACUGAGCCCAUAUGCCAGGUGCUGCUCUAAGGACUUUACCUGCAGUCGCUCAUCCAAUCCUCCCAGCAACCUUAUGGGAAUAUCGAAAAUGGAGACGUCGAGAGAAGAAAAUUUCCCCAGUAUUGCCCAGGAGAGAUGAAGCAUCGAUGACUCGAUGUGAGUCUUCCCGUCAUGUUGGCACAUUCGCACAUUCAGCAUUUUGAUCAGGAAUGACUCACCAUGCCUCAUUGGUGAGUGUAUUACUUAAAAAUAAUCGCUCCCAUUGCAAUGGACAAAAGUCCUUUUUGGAAGGAGGCAGAAGGUAAACCCUCUGCAAUCUUCUCAUCUUAACUCAGUUUCUCUUUUGAUAAAAGUUUACGGACCACCUGACACCUGUGUUGAUGUGGUUGUCCCUUCUUUAUAUCCCUAGAUGCUAAUAAGUAAGCAUUCUAGAUUUUUUUUCAGUCUUUUGUGAGUCUGAAAUAAUUUCAUCUACAAUUCAGUUCUGCAGAACCUGGAAACUGUACUAUAGAGAACUGAGAACAAUUUGUCAACCUACAGACCUGAGUCAAAUCUGAGCUCAUCUCUAUGAGAAGCCCAUUGACCCUGAGCCCUUAUUUUGCCCCCAAAGCCUGACUUGCAUUCCCAAUAAUCAGACAAAUAUACACUCCUUGGUCAGUUCUUAAUUAUCUGCAUGUGGCUUAUUCAAAAAUAAAAAUUAUUUUUAUUCCGUGAGGAAAGUAGUUGAAAAGGCCAAGCUCUGAGUUCAAGAAAUGAGUUUAAAUCCUGACUGCGCCUUUUUGAAUCUGUGAUCUUGGACAAGUUACUUCAUUUCUCUGUGUUUCACUUUCUUAAUCUACAUUAAAAAAAAAAAGGAGGAGCAAAUAAGAAUUCCUACUUUGUAUGAGAUAAAAGAUAUAUAAAGUAACUGCAUUUAAUAAAUAGUGGCACUCAAUAAAUAGUAGCAAUUGAUAUUAUGUGCUGGAUGCUACAAGAAUGCAAAAAUGAGCAAGGCACAAACUAAACUCUUUAGAAAUAUUUGAUCUAGUAAGCGAGGAUGCAACCUGUACCGCAGUGACUGAACGAGAUGUGCCAUGUCUGACAAUCUCAUCCAAUUUAGACAUCAAGCUUCAGUAGGAGGUAACAUUGGAAAGUGUCCAAAGGUAUGUGAAAAGUGGUCCAGGAGGAGGGAAGUGAACGAGCAAUAAUGUGGAGAAAAAAACAAGCCUGAUCGGCCUCUCUGUGGAAGGCUAUAAAGGCCCGUUUGAACUUGAAUAGUCAGAUUGUGAAAGCAGUCACAAAUGCUUCCCCCUCCUGGUAUCUAUAGCCAUAGGUAAUUCUUUUCCACAAUGAUGCUGAACUUGGUCAUGCAACUUGCUUUGACCAGUGGGAUGACUGGUAGCAAACAUGAUUCAGGUGGACUCAUGAAAAGGGCUUGCACAUUUAGGCAGACCUUAAUGUUGCACUUGGAGCCUUUCUGCUGCCAUAGGAACAAGCUUGCUCUAGCCAGUUCAGUGUUGAUGAGAAACAUGUGGUCCAGCGCUCUUCCCCGUCCCCAGUCAACAGUCAGCACUGUCAGGGGAACAGCAACCGAGCUCCCUGCAGCUGACCACAGAUGCAAGAGUGAGCCCAGUCAAGAUUAGCAAAAGAAUGACCCAGCUGGGCCCAACCCAAAUCAUAACCCACAGAACCGUGAGCAAAAUAAAUGGUUGUCAUUUUUAAGCCACUGCAUUUUGGGGUGGUUUGUUAAUGCAGCAAAAGUUAGCCAAUAACGGAGAGCCAUUGAAAGGUGGGUGCAGGUGAGCAGAUAUAUACGCUGUCCAGAUGGAUGUGCACUUGGGAAACUGGAGGCACACCAUAAAUACUAGAUUAAGUAAAAUAAUUAUUAAUGUAAAUUUGCUUCAAAAGGAAAUAAGUUGACGAGUAAUUAUUGAGUGCAGAAGGUUGCAAUUCACGAUAUCCUAUACCCCUGCUAUUCAAAACGUUGUCUGUGGACCAAAGGUAUUGUGACCUGGAGCUUAUUUGAAAUAUGGAAUUUGGGCUCCAUCCCAGACCCACUGAAUCUGAGUAUGAAUUUCAACAACAUCCCCAGGUGAUUCAUUGGCACUAAGUUUGAGAAGCACUGUCCUAUCCUAAAAAUGCAAACUGUAUCCGCACUAAGCACUCACCUAGUCUUUUGAAUUCUGGUCAAACCAGAUUUUUUUUUUUACUUCUUUAGAUGCAUCAGUAUAACUUCCU